UUAAAGUUUUAUUCUUGCUUAAUGAUUUAUUUUAGUCUUGUUUUACAUGUAAGUUUUUGCGUGCGUUUUUUAUUUAUUCUUAAAGGAUUAAUAAUUUUAUUUUAUUCGCAGUAUUUAAUUUUAUUGAUCGAGGAAACUUGGAAUUAGUAAUGAUUUAUAGUACCGGCAAAAGUCGUGCCAGCAGCCGCGGUUACACGGAGGGUGCGAGUAAAUAUUGUUAGUUUAUAGUUAUAGGAUUUGACAUAGGAGUGAAAAUUAAAUUUGUUAGGUGAAAUUUUAAUUUUAAUUUAUUUCUUAAUGGAUUAUUAGAGGCUAUGAAAUUUAAAAGUUAAACUAGGAUUAGAUACCCUAUUAUUUUAAAUGUGAAUCAUGAAGACUUGAGUAGUAUUAGAUAUGUUCUUGAAACUCAAAGAAUUUGGCGGUGUUUUAGUCCUUUCAGAGGAACCUGUCCCGUAAUCGAUAGUCCACGUUUUACCUUACUUAAUCUUGUUUUCAGCUUGUAUACCGCCGUCGUCAGAAUGUCCUUGGAGGGGUUUAAUUUUCUUAAUUUUUUAUUAGAGUUGAUGUCAGGUCAAGGUGCAGCUUAUGGUUAAGUGGAGAUGGGUUACAAUAAAAAUAUUUAUAACGGAAAGUGAGUGGAAGAACUUAUUAGAAGGUGGAUUUGAUUGUAAUAAAUUUAAUUAAAUUAGUUUGAUUUUGGCUCUAAAACAUGCACACAUCGCCCGUCGCUCUCGUUAUUUAAGGCGAGAUAAGUCGUAACAUAGUAGGUGUACCGGAAGGUGUACCUGGAAAGUU
rnacentral:ncRNA from 1 species